rnacentral:rRNA from 1 species
UACAGAGGGGGGCAAGCGUUGUUCGGAAUUACUGGGCGUAAAGGGCGCGUAGGCGGCCUUCUAAGUCGAACGUGAAAUCCCUGGGCUCAACCCAGGAACUGCGUCCGAUACUGGAAGGCUUGAAUCCGGGAGAGGGAUGCGGAAUUCCAGGUGUAGCGGUGAAAUGCGUAGAUAUCUGGAGGAACAUCAGUGGCGAAGGCGGCUACCUGGCCCAAUACUGACACUCAGGUGCGACAGCGUGGGGAGCAAACAGG